AUUGAACGCUGGCGGCGUGCCUAACACAUGCAAGUCGAGCGGUAACAGGUGUAGCAAUACAUGCUGACGAGCGGCGGACGGGUGAGUAACGCUUGGGAAUCUGCCUAUUAGUGGGGGACAACCCGGGGAAACUCGGGCUAAUACCGCAUACGCUCUACGGAGGAAAGCCGGGGACCGCAAGGCCUGGCGCUAAUAGAUGAGCCCAAGUCGGAUUAGCUAGUUGGUAGGGAAUGGCCUACCAAGGCGACGAUCCGUAACUGGUCUGAGAGGACGACCAGUCACACCGGAACUGAGACAC
rnacentral:rRNA from 1 species